AUCUUUCCUCAUUGGUUUAUUCAUAUGAUGAUUGGUCUGAUCACGUGUCUGCAUGAAAUGUGCAACCUAUUGUUACGAUUGAGCACAUGACCAUCUGAUC